rnacentral:lncRNA from 1 species
UAAUGAAGCAAUUUUUAAGUUACUUGCAGCAUAGGUUUUAUAAGGAAACAGUUUUUAAGAAUUUUAAAAUCUAAAUGUUUAUGUGUAUCUAUAAGUAAAUUUUUAAGAUACUUACAACAUAGGUUUUAUUAGGAAACAGUUCUUAAGAAUUUAUAAAAACUUGUAUGUGUAUCUAUAAAUCCAUUGAAAUAAUUCCUUAGAAACAAUUCAUGUUCAUAAUUUGCCUACAAUCAGACAGUUUGGCCGCAUUAAUUGAUGUUGACCAAUUAACCAGAAAUCAGUUGAAUUUCUUGUUGCAGGUCUGCUUGCUUCUUGUUGCAGGUCUUGUUGCAGGUCUGCUUGGAGUAUAAAUAAGCUUAUAUUAGGAAUUAAAGAUUUAAUUUUUUUAUUAGUUAUUAAAGUGCUCAAAUAAAACAAUUUUAUCAAAAAGUACCAUGGAUGAGUAUUUGACAGGAAGUUUAUGCCCCCUUCUUUACCAAUUAUGUUUAUUUGGCCAGAGCUGGCGUCAAACCUCAAAUCAUUUGGUUUUGAGAACUCUAACAUUUCAGCACAAUUUCUCAUUAGUUGAUAAACUUUUUACUAAUUUUUAUUGAUCUUGUUGCAAAGAAUCUUUUUCUAUAAAACAUAAAAUUUAAUGGUAUAUCUUUUUCUCAAUGGUAUGAAAUUUUAAAAAAUACUGAAUUUUUAUUUGAUAAAAUGCUAAAUUUGACCACAUUAUUUUAUUUUUUUUUUGGAAAAGUUAAAAUAAAACUAUUGGAAGUUAAGUUUGUUAUUAGUUAAAACAUAUCCUUGCAUAAAUUUUUUUUAACAUUCAAGAAUUGUUUAAUUUGGUAAAUUGCUUUUAUUAAUUUAUAAACUGGCCUAUAAUCUUGUGAAUUUUUUUUUUAAAUUUUUUUAUUGAUUAUUAUCAAAUCUAUUCAUCACAUAAUAAGCCUCAAAAAACUUAAUAGAAAAAAAAAAAAAACAUACGUUAAAGAGCAAGUUGUGCUUUCUGUGGCCAAAUAUAAAAGAGCUAUAACUCCAUAAAUUACAUCAACUAUUGUAGUCAUAAGUCAACCAUCAGAGUUGACCAUCAGAGCAAAUUUUAUCCCAUACAGCCACUUGCGCACAAGAAAUUAUACCUAUUUAUUUCAACAAAUAGGUAUUAUUUCUUGUGCAAAUUCAACAAAAUAGCUAUUAAUCAAAAGGUUUCAUGUUAUUUGUGUAAUUUUUAUGAAAUUUCUCUUGUGAUCAAGCUAACUAAAUAUGGUUUUCAGGCAUGGUGCCUGACAACCAUUGAUAUUAGUUGACAAUUAUGAAAAAAUCAAUUCUACAGUUGGAAAUUGCAUCAAUACUGCUAGUAAUUGCUUUAGGCCAUACAUCGUUUUAAAAUCAAAAGUUACCAUAGUCAAUAGUUACACCACCUCGACCUUUUGAAUCUACAUAAAUAUCUAGCAUCAACAUAUUUUAUAACUCCAAAGUUAGCUCCCUGCAACCUUUAAUUAAAUUUUAUUAUGAGUUAAUUCUAUCUAUUCAAAAGGUAAUACAAUAUGUGGUUGAACAACAUCCAAAUAACAUGCUGUAGCUUUGAAACAAAUGCUUUGCAUUCAAUACAUCGACACAAUCAAAAAAUGUAGACCUGCAAGAUUCUAAGAUGAUGAUCAGGAAAUAAGUUAGGCAGCAACACUGACUCCAACAACAACAGAAGCAAACUAA